GAUCCUGGCUCAGGACGAACGCUGGCGGCGCGCCUAACACAUGCAAGUCGAACGAGAGAUGAGGAGCUUGCUCUUCAAAUCGAGUGGCGAACGGGUGAGUAACGCGUGAGGAACCUGCCUCAAAGAGGGGGACAACAGUUGGAAACGACUGCUAAUACCGCAUAAGCCCACGGCUCGGCAUCGAGCAGAGGGAAAAGGAAGGCAAUCCGCUUGUAGAUGGCGUCCGCGUCCGGACUUAG
rnacentral:rRNA from 1 species